GGUAGGUUCUGAUAAGGAAGAGUCCCUUUUCUUUUGAGGAUUAGGAGAGCUCCUUGAGUCUUCAUCAACAGAAAACAGAGGUCAUCAGAGAAGCUAAAAGAUAAGAGACUUGGAUUAGAUCCAGUGAUAAAAUGUCUGCCCUGAAUACAGAAGUAAUGCAAAUGAGAGUGAAAUCAGCAUGAAUCAAAUGAUAGGGUUUGACACAAGGGCAAUGCUGUCUCUAUGUGUAACUCAGCCACCUGGAAGAAAGAAAAGCUGUUCAGCCAGUGACGCCAUUUAGGAAAAUUGGUGUGAGAAAAUUAAUCUAACCACCAUUGAACAUAACUUUGUCCCUUGGCUGAAGGGUUACUGGAAAACUACAUAUUGCAAACUCUGAGAACAUAUGGAAAAAGUCUGAGCUUGUUUAGCUACUGUGCUAUCCACCAGUCUGACAGACUAUUAAGAAAGAAGGCUUGUUUAAGAGACUCUUGAAUAGGCUAUAUCCAGGAGCCUUUGGAAUAUAUAACAUGGACAGAUCUUCAAUGGAAUUUAAUAAAAAGAAAUGAAAUGAAACUAA